rnacentral:rRNA from 1 species
UACGAAGGGGGCUAGCGUUGUUCGGAAUUACUGGGCGUAAAGGGCGCGUAGGCGGCGUGUCAAGUCAGGCGUGAAAGCCCCGGGCUCAACCUGGGAACCGCGCUUGAGACUGGCAUGCUCGAGUUCGGGAGAGGAUGGUGGAAUUCCCAGUGUAGAGGUGAAAUUCGUAGAUAUUCGCAAGAACACCAGUGGCGAAGGCGGCUCACUGGCCCGGUACUGACGCUGAGGUGCGAAAGCGUGGGGAGCAAACAGG